GCCCAUUUUUCUGCCUUUGUCCUGAGGCUCCCCGCAGCUUCCUGCUGUCAGCCCCAGCUGUGGGGAAGGCGGAAUGUGCCUGAGUGAUAUCGCCGGGCCGCCGCCGGGCAGCGCCAAGCCUGGCCUGGCUGCCCCACGCCAAGAUUCAUGCCCGGCAAACAAGCCACACUUUGUUCCUGUGGGAAAGUCCGGCCUCUCAGGAAAGAGCCUCUCUCGGUGGCUGGGCCCUGGGCUGGGGACGCAUAAGUUGAACAAAACCUCAUCCGUUGGCCACGAUUCAUGGGCCCAAGGUCCACCUCCGCCCUGGAGAGGAGAGGACGGGUCUGCCCAGGGGCUGGAACUCUGGGCCAUCCCUUUGUCCUCCUCUACCGGAAGCCCCUUCUGGAAGGUCUCUCUCACCUGACCCUUGCUGGUUCCUGCCCUGCCUCUGACUGAAAAGGGGAAGCAGUGAAGGAAACAGGAGCCACAGUAAAGCAGACACUCGUUACGCCGGUGCCAGUAUCCCCAGCCCCGUCUCGUGUGUUAAGGGGACCUAAAGGCUGUCCUGCUUCUACACUCUGGCAAACAGGAUGGGCAGGUGAAGCCUGGAGGCUACUAGGGUCGGCUGUGACCAGGGCCAUGGCUGUACCAUGAUAUUAAGUACCUGCCACGUGCCUGCUGCAGGGAUGGAUCACAUGGACACAGAGGCAGCAACAUUCCACAUGCCCGGUCAGUAGCCUGGAUCCCAGAGUGAAGCGAUGUGACAGGGAGAUGCUGUCAUACUGCAGACAAACAAGACUUGAGUGACAAAGAAUCGGCGGGGGUUGCAAGGCUUUAAUGUGGAGGGGCUGCUUGAUGCCUCAGCGCAACUCAGCCUGUUGGUAACACGCGUGCCACCGAUGACCAAGCUGCACCCCCCAGUUUGUGGAUUCAAGCUUCCCAUCUGGGUUUGAAUAAUUUCUCCUGUGUUGCACUUUUCUCUUCAGAAGUUUUA
rnacentral:lncRNA from 1 species